AGUGAACGCUGGCGGCAGGCCUAACACAUGCAAGUCGAGCGGCAGCGCGGGGGCAACCCUGGCGGCGAGCGGCGGACGGGUGAGGAAUUCGUCGGAAUCUGCCUUUUUGUGGGGGAUAACGUAGGGAAACUUACGCUAAUACCGCAUACGUCCUACGGGAGAAAGUGGGGGACCGCAAGGCCUCACGCAGAAAGAUGAGCCGACGACCGAUUAGCUAGUUGGUGGGGUAAAGGCCCACCAAGGCGACGAUCGGUAGCUGGUCUGAGAGGAGGAUCAGCCACACUGGGACUGAGACACGGCCCAGACUCCUACGGGAGGCAGCAGUGGGGAAUAUUGGACAAUGGGCGCAAGCCUGAUCCAGCCAUGCCGCGUGUGUGAAGAAGGCCUUCGGGUUGUAAAGCACUUUUGUCCGGAAAGAAAUCCCUGGAGCUAAUACCUUCGGGGGAUGACGGUACCGGAAGAAUAAGCACCGGCUAACUUCGUG
rnacentral:rRNA from 1 species